AUUGAACGCUGGCGGCAGGCUUAACACAUGCAAGUCGAGCGAGCGGCGAACGGGUGAGUAAUGUCUGGGAAACUGCCUGAUGGAGGGGGAUAACUACUGGAAACGGUAGCUAAUACCGCAUACCAUCAGAUGUUCCCAGCGGGGAUUCGCUAGUAGGGGGGGUAAUGGCUCACCUAGGCGACGAUCCCUAGCGGGUCUGAGAGGAUGACCAGCCACACUGGAACUGAGACACGGUCCAGACUCCUACGUGAGGCAGCAGUGGGGAAUAUUGCACAAUGGGAGCAAGCCGGAUGCAGCCAUGCCGCGUGUGUGAAGAAGGCCUUCGGGUUGUAAAGCACUUUCAGUGAUGAGGCGUUACUCGCAGAAGAAGCACCGGCUAACGCCGUGCCAGCCGCCGCGGUAAUUC
rnacentral:rRNA from 1 species